rnacentral:lncRNA from 1 species
AGGUUAUGGGGUGCCAGCUGAACCUGCAGGCCCUGCUGUUAUGGGGCAGCUAUGGGGCACUUAUGGGGCACUUAUGGGGCAGGUGGCUAUGGGGCGGCCAUGGGGCACUUAUGGGGCCGCCCCACUCUCUACAGCACAGCGUCCGGAGGCUCGGAGCGCGGCUGGCGGGCGCUGAAGCUGCUGGCGCUGCUGUACCUGGCGGCGCUGCUGGGCUGCACGGCGCUGCUGAACUUCUCGCUGGGUUUCAUCAUGGCCGCCACCAUGGUGCCCGCCGC